GAUGAACGCUGGCGGCGUGCCUAAUACAUGCAAGUCGAGCGAACGGACGAUAAUCUUGCUUCUCUGAUGUUAGCGGCGGACGGGUGAGUAACACGUGGAUAACCCACCUAUAAGACUGGGAUAACUUCGGGAAACCGGAGCUAAUACCGGAUAAUAUUUUGAACCGCAUGGUUCAAAAGUGAAAGUCGGUCUUUCUGGCACUUAUAGAUGGAUCCGGGCUGCAUUAGCUAGUUGUUAAGGUAACGGGUUACCAAGGCAACGAUGCAUAGCCGACCUGAGAGGGUGGUCGGCCACACUGGAACUGAGACACGGUCCAGACUCCUACGGGAGGCAGCAGAAGGGAAUCUUCCGCAGUAGGCGAAAGCCUGACGGAGCAACGCCGCGUGAGUGAUGAAGAUCUUCGGAUCGUAAAACUCUGUUAUUAGGGAAGAACAUAUGUGUAAGUAACUGUGCACAUCUUGACGGUAACUAAUCAGAAAGCCACGGCUAACUACGUG
rnacentral:rRNA from 1 species